rnacentral:rRNA from 1 species
CCCAGACUCCUACGGGAGGCAGCAGUGGGGAAUAUUGCACAAUGGGGGGAACCCUGAUGCAGCGACGCCGCGUGGGUGAAGGAGCACCUCGGUGCGUAAAGUCCUAUCGGCAAGGAGGAAACAGACGGUACCUGACUAAGAAGCCCCGGCUAACUACGUGCCAGCAGCCGCGGUAAUACGUAGGGGGCAAGCGUUAUCCGGAUUCACUGGGUGUAAAGGGAGCGUAGACGGCGACGCAAGUCUGGAGUGAAAGCCCGGGGCCCAACCCCGGGACUGCUCUGGAAACUGCGUCGCUGGAGUGCGGGAGGGGCAGGCGGAAUUCCUGGUGUAGCGGUGAAAUGCGUAGAUAUCAGGAGGAACACCGGCGGCGAAGGCGGCCUGCUGGACCGUGACUGACGUUGAGGCUCGAGAGCGUGGGGAGCAAACAGGAUUAGAUACCCCGGUA